rnacentral:lncRNA from 1 species
AUAAUCUCUAUAUGUUGCCUUUUAGUGUGGAAUGCAUCAGUUAAAAUCUCAAGAAACCCCGAGGCAGAGGAUUAAGAGAUACUGAAGAGAAGAUGAGUCUGUGUGCAUUUAUCUGUGCUUAGCCUGCUCCGAAUGGGAACUCAGCUCUCAAAUGAAGGUGUGUGUGGUAUGUGAUGGUGGAAGUAACCAGCAGCCAGGCAAAUGGCAGAGCGUGGCCCUUUUCCACCUCCAUGUGUAAUAAUUGCAGGACUCCCUUCCCAGACAAGACUGCUCACUCCUGCAGAAAAUGACCUUGUUCUUGAGAGCUGCUGCUAAUUUACAGUGAGGCACUAGGUUUCUACCCAGUGCCACGUGAGCAACCAAUCCAUCUACCCAGGGGCACGGCACUGACGAGCAGCAUCAUUUAGAAGGAAAGAAGUAUGGGUGGUGUUUGUUGUUUCCUGUGUGUUAAGGAAAAUCCAGUGGUAAGCAGUUUGGGAGCAUUGCUUCUGAGCUAGGCUCACUGAGGAAGGGGAAAGCUGCAUUGUACUAUCUACAUAAAAAUAUAGCCGAGAUUCCGGAUGAGUGGCUAAGCCAAACCCUCUGAGCAUGAAACCCCACAAGAAGAAGCCACGAUGCAAACAACUCACGUAAUUCUUCUGGCAAAUUGCUGGUUCUUAGAGUUCCUCGGGCUAAGGGGUUGCUAGGGGGUCUAGGCACGGCAGCUAGGGAUGGAGCCUGGGGACCAUGUGGUCUCAGCUCUGCAGGAAGGUCCAAGGACUCCUCAGGGGCUUCCACUCCAUUAGAUGGUGGGCGGUAGAGCUGGUCCCUGCAAGGGAGUAUGUUUACAGCAAAUUUUUAUCUUCAUCACAAACACAGUUUAGGCAGACAGAAAAACUUUACAAACUGUGGGACCAUUCCAAUGCAUGAUCUCCCCUCUGCCUUAACUUCUUAUCUGACACAGAUGGAGAGGUGGGGCAUGGAGUUUCCUUUGUAAAAAAACCAAGCCAGCUGGUUCCCAUAUGUGAGGACCUGUGCUAGGGGUCAAAAGAGGGACGAGGGAUUUGAUUUCUUUAUUCAAGGUCUGUCUAAUUGGGAAAAUAAAUCCCAUGUACAGGUCAGACAAGGUCACCAGCAAAACAAAAUAGCGUGAUGGGUGACAUAGAAAGAUAAUAGUAAAGGCUGCAAAUAAAAAGACACAGCUUUUAGCUCGGGAGGGAUAACAUUUGAUUGUGUUUCAUAAGUUUUUUGUUUGUUUGUUUCUUUUUUUUUU